rnacentral:tRNA from 1 species
GCCGGAGUGGCGAAAUUGGCAUACGCAAGGGACUUAAAAUCCCUUGGGACGUAAGUCCCAUGCCGGUUCAAGUCCGGCCUCCGGCA